rnacentral:rRNA from 1 species
UACGUGGGGUGCAAGCGUUGUCCGGAAUUAUUGGGCGUAAAGAGCUCGUAGGCGGUCUGUCGCGUCUGCUGUGAAAACUCGGGGCUUAACCCCGGGCCUGCAGUGGGUACGGGCAGACUAGAGUGCGGUAGGGGAGACUGGAAUUCCUGGUGUAGCGGUGAAAUGCGCAGAUAUCAGGAGGAACACCGGUGGCGAAGGCGGGUCUCUGGGCCGUAACUGACGCUGAGGAGCGAAAGCAUGGGGAGCGAACAGG